CUCAGGCCCAGGCGGGACCCCGCAGUGCCCCGUUCUGGCUUGGACCUUAGCACUGGGAAGGUGGGUGCGGUGUUCCCAGUUCGGCUCAGGCAGGCUCCAGCGCAGGUGGAGCUGAGAUCCGUUAGGAGCAGUGGCUUGGUCCGUGUGGGGUGCGAAUACCCGGCCUGGAUCUGAAGAACGCUGGGUGGACAGCGGCGGUCACGGUGAGCGGAAGGUGUGCUGGGCAGUCUUGCUCCGGAACGAGAGACCUGGUCAGUUCCCGCUGUGCCACAUGUACUGUGGGCGGGAGAACUAACGUGGAGCAGAGUCAGCUGAAUCAUCACUGUCCUCUGCACUCUCCCAAGACCCACUGAAAAUGAACAUAUCUGAGAUUGAUGAGAAGUGUGCCUUCACAGACAUCAGUGUCAUUCAAGGACGUGAGUGUGGCGUUUACCCUGGAGGAGUGGCAGCAUGUGAACCCUGCUCAGAGGACCCUGUACAGAGCUGUGAUGCUGGAGAACCAUAGCCACCUUGUCCUACUGGGGAGCCUACUUUAUCAUGCGACUCCACCUAGAGUGCAUUUGAUUUGCUGUCUCUUCUUUUUUAAAUAAAUCACCUAUAUUGAGGUAU